GCAAUUAUUGACAUUGUAGAAACAUUGGAGAAAAGAAGAAAAAUAAUUUCUCGCGCAUGCAUAACAAAUUCUGAAUAGAGCGAAAAGAACAAAAAGAAAAUGAAAAAAAAAAGAGGAGUUUCCAUGAGUAGUGUGGUUGCAUUGGCCUACCCUCUACUCUAUAAUCGAAAGUGCAUCGAGGCACGACGUUUUGGCAAAAGAAGGUGAAUGCAUAAUGCUCCAUCUAAUCUAGUUUAGUGAGUUCAACGUCGCAAAAUUAGAAAAAGUUGAAAGAUGAAAAAGCUAUUCGAUUCGAUUUGCUUCUUAACUACUAUCCAGUCUGG
rnacentral:lncRNA from 1 species